UCUUUGCUAGUAUAUCGGUUAGUACACGCGCUUGUCAUCGUCGUCACAGCGUCGCUACUACGCGCGAAAGCUGGGUUCGACUCCCAGGCAGAGAG